AAACCUCCUUCAUGUUCUGAGACUCUGCAAAAUCCAGCGUGAGGCACUGAAGAACAUCCCUGAAGACCUUAUAGGAAAAGGUGAUGGAAGUGGAGGCAGAGCAGGACUGAAGACUGUGUGGCAGCUGAUAUUCUUGACCAACUCCUUGUGCUACCCAACAAAGCCACUGGUUUGAGGAAGAAGUCCACCCUCUAUUCUAUCUCCAUUAACCAAGCAAUGGCAAUGAAGUGGAAAGAACAAACAGCUAAGCUUUGACCUCAAAUGCCAAUCAAACUCUACCAUUUCAGUGAUCAUGUUAAGCAUUCUGUAUCUGUUUAAAAACAA
rnacentral:lncRNA from 1 species